AUUGAACGCUGGCGGCAGGCCUAACACAUGCAAGUCGAGCGGAUGAAGGGAGCUUGCUCCUGGAUUCAGCGGCGGACGGGUGAGUAAUGCCUAGGAAUCUGCCUGGUAGUGGGGGAUAACGUCCGGAAACGGGCGCUAAUACCGCAUACGUCCUGAGGGAGAAAGUGGGGGAUCUUCGGACCUCACGCUAUCAGAUGAGCCUAGGUCGGAUUAGCUAGUUGGUGGGGUAAAGGCCUACCAAGGCGACGAUCCGUAACUGGUCUGAGAGGAUGAUCAGUCACACUGGAACUGAGACACGGUCCAGGCUCCUACGGGAGGCAGCAGGUGGGAAUGUUGGACAAUGGGCGAAAGCCUGAUCCAGCCAUGCCGCGUGUGUGAAGAAGGUCUUCGGAUUGUAAAGCACUUUAAGUUGGGAGGAAGGGCAGUAAGUUAAUACCUUGCUGUUUUGACGUUACCAACAGAAUAAGCACCGGCUAACUUCGUG
rnacentral:rRNA from 1 species